rnacentral:rRNA from 1 species
UACGGAGGGUGCAAGCGUUAUCCGGAUUCACUGGGUUUAAAGGGUGUGUAGGCGGGUAUUUAAGUCAGUGGUGAAAUCUCCAGGCUCAACCUGGAAACUGCCAUUGAUACUAUUUAUCUUGAAUAUCGUUGAGGUAGGCGGAAUAUGUCAUGUAGCGGUGAAAUGCUUAGAGAUGACAUAGAACACCAAUUGCGAAGGCAGCUUACUAAACGAAGAUUGACGCUGAGGCACGAAAGCGUGGGGAUCAAACAGG